rnacentral:rRNA from 1 species
AGAGUUUGAUCAUGGCUCAGGAUGAACGCUGACAGAAUGCUUAACACAUGCAAGUCUACUUGAUCCUUCGGGUGAUGGUGGCGGACGGGUGAGUAACGCGUAAAGAACUUGCCCUGCAGUCUGGGACAACAUUUGGAAACGAAUGCUAAUACCGGAUAUUAUGUGAGUUUCGCAUGAAAUUCAUAUGAAAGCUAUAUGCGCUGCAGGAGAGCUUUGCGUCCUAUUAGCUAGUUGGUGAGGUAACGGCUCACCAAGGCGAUGAUAGGUAGCCGGCCUGAGAGGGUGAACGGCCACAAGGGGACUGAGACACGGCCCUUACUCCUACGGGAGGCAGCAGUGGGGAAUAUUGGACAAUGGACCAAAAGUCUGAUCCAGCAAUUCUGUGUGCACGAUGAAGUUUUUCGGAAUGUAAAGUGCUUUCAGUUGGGACGAAGUAAGUGACGGUACCAACAGAAGAAGCGACGGCUAAAUACGUGCCAGCAGCCGCGGUAAUACGUAUGUCGCAAGCGUUAUCCGGAUUUAUUGGGCGUAAAGCGCGUCUAGGCGGUUUGGUAAGUCUGAUGUGAAAAUGCGGGGCUCAACUCCGUAUUGCGUUGGAAACUGCCAAACUAGAGUACUGGAGAGGUGGGCGGAACUACAAGUGUAGAGGUGAAAUUCGUAGAUAUUUGUAGGAAUGCCGAUGGGGAAGCCAGCCCACUGGACAGAUACUGACGCUAAAGCGCGAAAGCGUGGGUAGCAAACAGGAUUAGAUACCCUGGUAGUCCACGCCGUAAACGAUGAUUACUAGGUGUUGGGGGUCGAACCUCAGCGCCCAAGCUAACGCGAUAAGUAAUCCGCCUGGGGAGUACGUACGCAAGUAUGAAACUCAAAGGAAUUGACGGGGACCCGCACAAGCGGUGGAGCAUGUGGUUUAAUUCGACGCAACGCGAGGAACCUUACCAGCGUUUGACAUCCUAAGAAAUUAGCAGAGAUGCUUUUGUGCCCCUUCGGGGGAACUUAGUGACAGGUGGUGCAUGGCUGUCGUCAGCUCGUGUCGUGAGAUGUUGGGUUAGUCCCGCAACGAGCGCAACCCCUUUCGUAUGUUGCCAUCAUUAAGUUGGGCACUCAUGCGAUACUGCCUGCGAUGAGCAGGAGGAAGGUGGGGAUGACGUCAAGUCAUCAUGCCCCUUAUACGCUGGGCUACACACGUGCUACAAUGGGUAGUACAGAGAGUCGCAAACCUGCGAGGGGGAGCUAAUCUCAGAAAACUAUUCUCAGUUCGGAUUGUACUCUGCA